rnacentral:rRNA from 1 species
UCUACGGGAGGCAGCAGUGAGGAAUAUUGGUUAAUGGACGCAAGCCUGAACCAGCCAUGCCGCGUGCAGGAUGACUGCCCUAUGGGUUGUAAACUUCUUUUGUACAAGAAUAAAGCCCGACACGUGUGCCGGGUUGAAUGUACCUUAUGAAUAAGGAUCGGCUAACUCCGUGCCAGCAGCCGCGGUAAUACGGAGGAUCCGAGCGUUAUCCGGAUUUAUUGGGUUUAAAGGGAGCGUAGACGGGUUGUUAAGUUAGUGGUGAAAUGUUGGGGCUCAACCCUGAAAUUGCCUUUGAUACUGGUGGACUUGAGGACAGUUGAGGUAGGCGGAAUGUAUGGUGUAGCGGUGAAAUGCUUAGAUAUCAUGAAGAACACCGAUUGCGAAGGCAGCUUACCAAACUGUCACUGACGUUGAGGCACGAAAGCGUGGGUAGCAAACAGGAUUAGAUACCCGUGUAGUC